rnacentral:rRNA from 1 species
UACAGAGGGUGCAAGCGUUGUUCGGAAUUAUUGGGCGUAAAGCGCGUGUAGGCGGCUUUGCAAGUCGGAUGUGAAAGCCCUGGGCUCAACCCAGGAAGUGCAUUCAAAACUGUUUCGCUUGAAUCUCGGAGGGGGUCAGAGAAUUCCCGGUGUAGAGGUGAAAUUCGUAGAUAUCGGGAGGAAUACCAGUGGCGAAGGCGCUGACCUGGACGAAGAUUGACGCUGAGGUGCGAAAGCGUGGGGAGCAAACAGG